CAAUAGCGUAUAUUAACUUUGUUGCAGUUAAAAGGCUCGUAGUCGAAUUUAUGGCUCUGUGCAACGCUUCCGGUGCCGAGUGCAUCGAGUGGGCAAUGCACGGGUCAUCCUUCCGGAGAGCACUUCUACCCUUGAUUGGGUUGGUCGUUGUGAUCCAGAUCAUUUACUGUGAGUAAAUCAAAGUGUUCAACACAGGCUUGUGAAGCUUGUAUGCUCUAGCAUGGAAUAAUAAGAUAGGACUUUGGUUUUAUUUUGUUGGCUUUUAAAACUAAAGUAAUGAUCGAUAGGGAUAGUUGGGGGUGCUAGUAUUGAACGGUCAGCGGUGAAAUGCGUAGACCCGUUCAAGACUAACUUGUGCGAAAGCAUUCACCAAGGAUAUCUUCUUUGAC
rnacentral:rRNA from 1 species